ACUGCAGGCUGCAACUCGCCUGCACGAAGUUGGAAUUGCUAGUAAUCGUGGAUCAGCAUGCCACGGUGAAUACGUUCCCGGGUCUUGUACACACCGCCCGUCACACCAUGGGAGCCGGUAAUACCCGAAGUCAGUAGUCUAACCGCAAGGAGGACGCUGCCGAAGGUAGGAUCGGCGACUGGGGUGAAGUCGUAACAAGGUAGC
rnacentral:rRNA from 1 species